UUGUGUGUGUGAUUCUCAUAGUCUCAUAAAUACUUGGCAUCAUGACAAUUUCAUUUUGACUAAAUAACACAUGUACAAUAAAGUUCAAAUCAAACAAUGGGCUUUGCUAUUAGCAGGUGUAUCCUGUGAUCAUUGUAAGGACUUUUGUCAUUAUUUGAAAACAUGACAAUACAACAGUUGUCAAUGUGAGACAUAGCUAUCCUUGUAUUAAAGUAUUCUGAAGCUUUGACAAAGUAAUCUAUGAAUGUGACCAGAGUGCCUUGUAAGUUUAUUUGUUGAUUUAAAAAUCUGACAUAAAA